UACAGAGGGUGCAAACGUUGCUCGGAAUUACUGGGCGUAAAGCGCGUGUAGGCGGUUUCGCGAGUCCGAUGUGAAAGCCCGGGGCUCAACCCCCGGAAGUGCAUUGGAUACUACGAGCUUGAGUGCUGGAGAGGAAAGCGGAAUUCCCGGUGUAGAGGUGAAAUUCGUAGAUAUCGGGAGGAACACCAGUGGCGAAGGCGGCUUUCUGGACAGACACUGACGCUGAUACGCGAAAGCGUGGGGAUCAAACGA
rnacentral:rRNA from 1 species